GGGACUGUAGCUUAAUGAUAGAGUGCUUGCCUAGCAUGCAUGAAGCAAUGAGUUCAAUUCCUCAGUACCA
rnacentral:tRNA from 1 species